UCUACAGCAUGUGCUGAACACAUCAAAGGUGGCCGGUAGUGUUGGUGAGAAGGUAUUGGACGGCUCUACCUGCAGAUUAGGAUGACUGGUGAUGAAGAGGUUGGGCACGGGGGUCCUUGGUCCGGCUGUGCUUGAACGGAAAAAUGGACAAUACGGGUGAGGUGGACCUAAUGUAAUGCUGGAUGAUUAUAAAGGACCUAAACCUGUAGUCACAGGCACACCAUUGACACCACCACUCCCGGACAGAGGGACCAUUCGGUGGAAGUGUGGAGCGUGAACAAUUUCAGGAUUAGACAUCAAAACAUUUGCGAUGAUGCUUCUCAAUUGCCAAUUACAGCUGCUUGUACAACUCAGUUACCAAAAGCAUUGUGGUAUGCCUUGAUGAAUAAACACUUAUGACUAAUUGGAAAAUGUA